rnacentral:rRNA from 2 species
UAGAGUUUGAUCCUGGUCAGGAUGAACGCUGGCGGCGUGCUUAACACAUGCAAGUCGAACGGUGAAGCCAAGCUUGCUUGGUGGAUCAGUGGCGAACGGGUGAGUAACACGUGAGCAACCUGCCCUGGACUCUGGGAUAAGCGCUGGAAACGGCGUCUAAUACUGGAUAUGAGCUCUCAUCGCAUGGUGGGGGUUGGAAAGAUUUUUCGGUCUGGGAUGGGCUCGCGGCCUAUCAGCUUGUUGGUGAGGUAAUGGCUCACCAAGGCGUCGACGGGUAGCCGGCCUGAGAGGGUGACCGGCCACACUGGGACUGAGACACGGCCCAGACUCCUACGGGAGGCAGCAGUGGGGAAUAUUGCACAAUGGGCGGAAGCCUGAUGCAGCAACGCCGCGUGAGGGAUGACGGCCUUCGGGUUGUAAACCUCUUUUAGCAGGGAAGAAGCGAGAGUGACGGUACCUGCAGAAAAAGCGCCGGCUAACUACGUGCCAGCAGCCGCGGUAAUACGUAGGGCGCAAGCGUUAUCCGGAAUUAUUGGGCGUAAAGAGCUCGUAGGCGGUUUGUCGCGUCUGCUGUGAAAUCCCGAGGCUCAACCUCGGGCCUGCAGUGGGUACGGGCAGACUAGAGUGCGGUAGGGGAGAUUGGAAUUCCUGGUGUAGCGGUGGAAUGCGCAGAUAUCAGGAGGAACACCGAUGGCGAAGGCAGAUCUCUGGGCCGUAACUGACGCUGAGGAGCGAAAGGGUGGGGAGCAAACAGGCUUAGAUACCCUGGUAGUCCACCCCGUAAACGUUGGGAACUAGUUGUGGGGACCAUUCCACGGUUUCCGUGACGCAGCUAACGCAUUAAGUUCCCCGCCUGGGGAGUACGGCCGCAAGGCUAAAACUCAAAGGAAUUGACGGGGACCCGCACAAGCGGCGGAGCAUGCGGAUUAAUUCGAUGCAACGCGAAGAACCUUACCAAGGCUUGACAUACACCAGGACACCGUAGAAAUACGGGACUCUUUGGACACUGGUGAACAGGUGGUGCAUGGUUGUCGUCAGCUCGUGUCGUGAGAUGUUGGGUUAAGUCCCGCAACGAGCGCAACCCUCGUUCUAUGUUGCCAGCACGUAAUGGUGGGAACUCAUGAGAUACUGCCGGGGUCAACUCGGAGGAAGGUAGGGAUGACGUCAAAUCAUCAUGCCCCUUAUGUCUUGGGCUUCACGCAUGCUACAAUGGCCGGUACAAAGGGCUGCAAUACCGUGAGGUGGAGCGAAUCCCAAAAAGCCGGUCCCAGUUCGGAUUGAGGUCUGCAACUCGACCUCAUGAAGUCGGAGUCGCUAGUAAUCGCAGAUCAGCAACGCUGCGGUGAAUACGUUCCCGGGUCUUGUACACACCGCCCGUCAAGUCAUGAAAGUCGGUAACACCUGAAGCCGGUGGCCCAACCCUUGUGGAGGGAGCCGUCGAAGGUGGGAUCGGUAAUUAGGACUAAGUCGUAACAAGGUAACCA